rnacentral:rRNA from 1 species
ACACAUGCAAGUCGAGCGGAAACGAGUUAUCAGAACCUUCGGGGGACGAUAACGGCGUCGAGCGGCGGACGGGUGAGUAAUGCCUAGGAAAUUGCCCUGAUGUGGGGGAUAACCAUUGGAAACGAUGGCUAAUACCGCAUGAUGCCUACGGGCCAAAGAGGGGGACCUUCGGGCCUCUCGCGUCAGGAUAUGCCUAGGUGGGAUUAGCUAGUUGGUGAGGUAAGGGCUCACCAAGGCGACGAUCCCUAGCUGGUCUGAGAGGAUGAUCAGCCACACUGGAACUGAGACACGGUCCAGACUCCUACGGGAGGCAGCAGUGGGGAAUAUUGCACAAUGGGCGCAAGCCUGAUGCAGCCAUGCCGCGUGUGUGAAGAAGGCCUUCGGGUUGUAAAGCACUUUCAGUCGUGAGGAAGGUAGUGUAGUUAAUAGCUGCAUUAUUUGACGUUAGCGACAGAAGAAGCACCGGCUAACUCCGUGCCAGCAGCCGCGGUAAUACGGAGGGUGCGAGCGUUAAUCGGAAUUACUGGGCGUAAAGCGCAUGCAGGUGGUUUGUUAAGUCAGAUGUGAAAGCCCGGGGCUCAACCUCGGAAUUGCAUUUGAAACUGGCAGACUAGAGUACUGUAGAGGGGGGUAGAAUUUCAGGUGUAGCGGUGAAAUGCGUAGAGAUCUGAAGGAAUACCGGUGGCGAAGGCGGCCCCCUGGACAGAUACUGACACUCAGAUGCGAAAGCGUGGGGAGCAAACAGGAUUAGAUACCCUGGUAGUCCACGCCGUAAACGAUGUCUACUUGGAGGUUGUGGCCUUGAGCCGUGGCUUUCGGAGCUAACGCGUUAAGUAGACCGCCUGGGGAGUACGGUCGCAAGAUUAAAACUCAAAUGAAUUGACGGGGGCCCGCACAAGCGGUGGAGCAUGUGGUUUAAUUCGAUGCAACGCGAAGAACCUUACCUACUCUUGACAUCCAGAGAACUUUCCAGAGAUGGAUUGGUGCCUUCGGGAACUCUGAGACAGGUGCUGCAUGGCUGUCGUCAGCUCGUGUUGUGAAAUGUUGGGUUAAGUCCCGCAACGAGCGCAACCCUUAUCCUUGUUUGCCAGCGAGUAAUGUCGGGAACUCCAGGGAGACUGCCGGUGAUAAACCGGAGGAAGGUGGGGACGACGUCAAGUCAUCAUGGCCCUUACGAGUAGGGCUACACACGUGCUACAAUGGCGCAUACAGAGGGCGGCCAACUUGCGAAAGUGAGCGAAUCCCAAAAAGUGCGUCGUAGUCCGGAUUGGAGUCUGCAACUCGACUCCAUGAAGUCGGAAUCGCUAGUAAUCGUGGAUCAGAAUGCCACGGUGAAUACGUUCCCGGGCCUUGUACACACCGCCCGUCACACCAUGGGAGUGGGCUGCAAAAGAAGUAGGUAGUUUAACCUUCGGGGGGACGCUUACCAC